rnacentral:rRNA from 1 species
UCGAGGAUCUUCGGCAAUGGGCGCAAGCCUGACCGAGCGACGCCGCGUGCGCGAUGAAGGCCUUCGGGUUGUAAAGCGCUGUCGAGGGGGAGGAAGCUCCGCAAGGGGUUGACCUAUCCCUGGAGGAAGCACGGGCUAAGUUCGUGCCAGCAGCCGCGGUAAGACGAACCGUGCGAACGUUGUUCGGAAUCACUGGGCUUAAAGGGCGCGUAGGCGGUCGAUCACGUCCGGGGUGAAAGCUUUCGGCUUAACCGGAAAAGUGCCUUGGAUACGGAUCGGCUGGAGGGAGGUAGGGGCAGGUGGAACUUCCGGUGGAGCGGUGAAAUGCGUUGAUAUCGGAAGGAACGCCGGUGGCGAAAGCGGCCUGCUGGACCUCUUCUGACGCUGAGGCGCGAAAGCUAGGGGAGCAAACGGGAUUAGAUACCCCCGUAGUCC